rnacentral:rRNA from 1 species
AACAUUGAUAACAUUUUACCCCGUUAUCCGCCCGGGAACUACGACAANNNNCUUAAAACCCAAAGGACUUGGCGGUGCUUUAGACCCACCUAGAGGAGCCUGUUCUAGAACCGAUAACCCCCGUUCAACCUCACCCCCCCUUGUUUUUACCGCCUAUAUACCACCGUCGUCAGCUUACCCUGUGAAGGCCUUAUAGUAAGCAAGAUGUCNAAAACCCAAAACGUCAGGUCGAGGUGUAGCGCAUGGGGCGGGAAGAAAUGGGCUACAUUCCCUACUACAGGGAAUACGAACGGUGUANNNNNAUAUAGGCCCGAAGGAGGAUUUAGCAGUAAGUGGNANAUAGAGCGUUCA